CUACAGGAUGGUCAUUUCAGGUGCCGAAGACCUAUUUGGGUAUGCUAGUCGGUUCGAUAUGUGCACUAAUGGGUGUAUUAACAAUUGCCUUACCGGUUCCUGUUAUUGUUUCAAAU
rfam:Necator americanus N_americanus-1.0_Cont136.45, whole genome shotgun sequence.